rnacentral:lncRNA from 1 species
AAAAAAAAGCAUUCCUAUCCCAUAGCUUGCCGUAGAUAAUUAUGACACCACAAUAGUAACAAUUUUCUCUCUCUCACUUCAAAUCUCCUUCUCUUUUCGCUUACUCCCCCUUCCUUCUUCGCGAUCCAUCACUGCCAAAUCUCCCCAAGAUUUCGAUUCCACACUGUUUCGGUGAUCGAUUUUCUCCAUAACCCUCGAUCCACAUAGGUCAUCUAUAAAAAUCCAAAACCCUAGUUUUUUCUUUUCCUUAAUUUCAUGGUGGAGUUUUAGAUUAGGCACAAACCCUUCAAUGAUUAUGGUCCCUUUCGUUUUCCCUCGGAGCAAAAUUUCAUGGGUGUUCCUAAAGUUUUUGAAUUGAAUCUCUUUUCCCUGCGAUAAUGUGUUCUGAGUUUGGGGCGAUGAAGUGUAAUAUCUAUCUCGCG